AUUGAACGCUGGCGGCAGGCCUAAUACAUGCAAGUCGAACGAGUGGCGGACGGGUGAGUAAUGUCUGGGAAACUGCCCGUUGGAGGGGGUUAACUACUGGAAACGGUAGUUAUUACCGCAUCCCAUCGGACGUGCCCAGAGUGGAUUAGCGAGUGGGGUGGGUAAAGGCUCACCUAGGCGACGAUCCCUAACUGGUCUGAGAGGAUGACCAGCCACACUGGAACUGAGACACGGUCCAGACUCCUACGGGAGGCAGCAGUGGGGAAUAUUGCACAAUGGGCGCAAGCCUGAUGCAGCCAUGCCGCGUGUAUGAAGAAGGCCUUCGGGUUGUAAAGUACUUUCAGCGGGGAGGCGUUACCCGCAGAAGAAGCACCGGCUAACUCCGUGCCAGCAGCCGCGGUAAUUC
rnacentral:rRNA from 1 species